rnacentral:rRNA from 1 species
UGUACAGGUGCUGCAUGGCUGUCGUCAGCUCGUGUCGUGAGAUGUUCGGUUAAGUCCGCUAACGAGCGCAACCCUCGCUGUGUGUUACAAGUGUCACACGGAACUGCCGGUCAUAAACCGGAGGAAGGUGGGGAUGACGUCAAGUCAGCAUGGCCUUUAUAUCCUGGGCUACACACACGCUACAAUGGGAAGGGACAAUAGGUUGCGAAGCCGCGAGGCGGAGCCAAUCCAGCAAAACUUCCCUCAGUUCAGAUUGCAGGCUGCAACUCGCCUGCAUGAAGUUGGAGUUGCUAGUAAACGCAGGUCAGCCAUACUGCGUUGAAUACGUUCCCGGGGCUU